UCGCCUGUUAACAAAAACAUUUCCUCUUAGAAUAGGAGGUAAAGCCUGCUCACUGAAUAUUUGAAGAGCCGCAGUAUUUUGACUGUGCUAAGGUAGCAUAAUCAUUAGUCUUUUAAUUGGGGACUGGUAUGAAUGGCUAAACGAGAAAUUUCCUUUUUUUAUCAUAACAAUAGAAUUUAUUUUUUUAGUGAAAAAACUAAGAUAUUCCUGAAAGACGAGAAGACCCUAUAGAGUUUUAUAUAGUAAGUUCCUAUAUUAUAUUAGAUUUUUGUUGUAUAGUUUGAUUCUAUAAUUUGUUGGGGCGACAUUAAGAUAUAAGAAACUCUUUUUUUUAAUGACUUUUAUGAAAGUUGAAUUUGAUCCUUUAAAAAAGACAAUAAGAAAAAAUUACCUUAGGGAUAACAGCGUAAUCUUUUUUGAGAGUUCUAAUCGACAAAAAGGUUUGCGACCUCGAUGUUGGACUAAAAUUUAGGUAGGGUGCAGUAGCUCUACUUUUAGGUCUGUUCGACCUAUAAUAUUUUACAUGAUCUGAGUUCAAACCGGA
rnacentral:rRNA from 1 species